UGGAUGGCCGAUGGGCCCUAAAAGGUUACUGACGUCAGCCAAACUCCGAAUGCCGGUAAGUAAGAGCGCAGCAGUGAGACGGUGGGGGAUAAGCUUCAUCGUCGAGAGGGAAACAACCCAGACUACCGACUAAGGUCCCAAAGCGUGUGCUAAGUGGAAAAGGAUGUGGAGUUGCAUAGACAACCAGGAGGUUGGCUUAGAAGCAGCCACCCUUGAAAGAGUGCGUAAUAGCUCACUGGUCAAGUGAUUCCGCGCCGACAAUGUAACGGGGCUCAAGCACACCACCGAAGUCGUAGCAUUCAAACUAUAGGUAGGCCUUCGUGGUCCAGCCGUGUGAAUGGGUAGGAGAGCGUCGUGUGGCGAGCGAAGCGGCGGAGUGAUCCAGCCGUGGACGCCACACGAGUGAGAAUGCAGGCAUGAGUAGCGAAAGACGGGUGAGAAACCCGUCCUCCGGAAGACCAAGGGUUCCAGGGCCAGGCUAAUCCGCCCUGGGUAAGUCGGGACCUAAGACGAGGCCGACAGGCGUAGUCGAUGGACAACGGGUUGAUAUUCCCGUACCCGCGAAGAACCGCAAGAGCUAAACCAGUAAUGCUAAGAGUCCGAAUUCUCUUUCUGAUCCCUUCGGGGUGAGGAUUGAGAGCUAGCACUCGACCCUAUGCUGGCGCGGCUAGCGUAUUAACAGGUGUGACGCAGGAAGGUAGCUGAGCCGGGCGAUGGUUGUCCCGGUGUAAGGAUGUAGGGCGAGGAAUAGGCAAAUCCGUUCCUCACGAAGCCUGAGAUCCGACGCGUACCCCUCACGGGGGAAAUCAGUGAUCCUAUGCUGCCAAGAAAAGCAUCGACGCGAGGUUCUAGUGGCCCGUACCCCAAACCGACUCAGGUGGUCAGGUAGAGAAUACUAAGGAGAUCGAGAGAAUCGUGGUUAAGGAACUCGGCAAAAUGCCCCCGUAACUUCGGGAGAAGGGGGGCCGGAUUGGUGAAGGGAUUUACUCCUGGAGCUAUGAAGGCCGCAGAGACCAGUGGGAAGCGACUGUUUACUAAAAACACAGGUCCGUGCUAAGUCGCAAGACGAUGUAUACGGACUGACGCCUGCCCGGUGCUGGAAGGUUAAGAGGAGCGGUUAGCACUUGUGCAAAGCUGCGAAUUUAAGCCCCAGUAAACGGCGGUGGUAACUAUAACCAUCCUAAGGUAGCGAAAUUCCUUGUCGGGUAAGUUCCGACCUGCACGAAUGGCGUAACGACUUCCCAGCUGUCUCAACCGCGAACUCGGCGAAAUUGCACUACGAGUAAAGAUGCUCGUUACGCGCAGCAGGACGGAAAGACCCCGUGACCUUUACUACAGCUUGGUAUUGGUGUUCGGUGUGGCUUGUGUAGGAUAGGUGGGAGACUUUGAAGCGGACACGCCAGUGUUUGUGGAGUCAUUGUUGAAAUACCACUCUGGUCACUCUGGAUAUCUAACUUCGAACCGUAAUCCGGUUCAGGGACAGUGCAUGGUGGGUAGUUUAACUGGGGCGGUUGCCUCCCAAAAAGUAACGGAGGCGCCCAAAGGUUCCCUCAGCCUGGUUGGCAAUCAGGUGGCGAGUGUAAGUGCACAAGGGAGCUUGACUGUGAGACUGACAGGUCGAGCAGGGACGAAAGUCGGGACUAGUGAUCCGGCAGUGGCUUGUGGAAGCGCUGUCGCUCAACGGAUAAAAGGUACCUCGGGGAUAACAGGCUGAUCUUGCCCAAGAGUCCAUAUCGACGGCAUGGUUUGGCACCUCGAUGUCGGAGAUCGGAAGAGC
rnacentral:rRNA from 1 species